rnacentral:rRNA from 1 species
UAAUACGAAGGGGGCAAGCGUUGUUCGGAAUUACUGGGCGUAAAGGGCGCGUAGGCGGCUUUGUAAGUCAGGUGUGAAAGCCCUGGGCUCAACCCGGGAACUGCAUUUGAUACUGCGAAGCUCGAAUCUCGGAGAGGUUGGUGGAAUUCCCAGUGUAGAGGUGAAAUUCGUAGAGAUUGGGAAGAACACCGGUGGCGAAGGCGGCCAACUGGACGAGUAUUGACGCUGAGGCGCGAAAGCGUGGGGAGCAAACAGGAUUAGAUACCCUGGUAGUCCACGCUGUAAACGAUGUGUGCUAGCCGUCGGGGCUCCUAGAGCUUCGGUGGCGUCGCUAACGCUUUAAGCACACCGCCUGGGGAGUACGGUCGCAAGAUUA